rnacentral:rRNA from 1 species
UACGUAGGGUGCGAGCGUUAAUCGGAAUUACUGGGCGUAAAGCGUGCGCAGGCGGUUAUGUAAGACAGGUGUGAAAUCCCCGGGCUUAACCUGGGAACUGCAUUUGUGACUGCAUAGCUAGAGUACGGCAGAGGGGGAUGGAAUUCCGCGUGUAGCAGUGAAAUGCGUAGAUAUGCGGAGGAACACCGAUGGCGAAGGCAAUCCCCUGGGGCCUGUACUGACGCUCAUGCACGAAAGCGUGGGGAGCAAACAGG